rnacentral:rRNA from 1 species
UGCGCCUUGCCAGCCCGCUCAGAAACUUAAAUGAAUUGGACGGGGCCCGCACAAGCGGAGGAGCAUGUGGUUUAAUUCGAUGAUACGCGAGGAACCUUACCGUGGGCUCGAACGUAAGAUGACUGUAGGUGAAAGCUUACAUCUCUUCGGAGCAUUUUUACGAGGUGCUGCAUGGUUGUCGUCAGCUCGUGUCGUGAGAUGUUGGGUUAAGUCCCGUAACGAGCGCAACCCUUGUCCUUAGUUACCAGCACGUUAUGGUGGGCACUCUAAGGAGACUGCCGGUGACAAACCGGAGGAAGGUGGGGAUGACGUCAAGUCAUCAUGGCCCUUACGGCCUGGGCUACACACGUGCUACAAUGGUCGGUACAAAGGGUUGCCAAGCCGCGAGGUGGAGCUAAUCCCAUAAAACCGAUCGUAGUCCGGAUCGCAGUCUGCAACUCGACUGCGUGAAGUCGGAAUCGCUAGUAAUCGUGAAUCAGAAUGUCACGGUGAAUACGUUCCCGGGCCUU